ensembl:miRNA MIR6774 microRNA 6774
UGUGCACUUGGGCAGGAGGGACCCUGUAUGUCUCCCCGCAGCACCGUCAUCGUGUCCCUCUUGUCCACAG